rnacentral:rRNA from 1 species
UACGUAGGGGGCAAGCGUUGUCCGGAUUUAUUGGGCGUAAAGAGCGUGUAGGCGGCCUUACAGGUCAGCUGUGAAAACUCGAGGCUUAACCUCGAGAUGUCAUCGGAAACCAUUUGGCUAGAGUCCGGAAGAGGAGAGUGGAAUUCCUGGUGUAGCGGUGAAAUGCGCAGAUAUCAGGAAGAACACCAAUGGCGAAAGCAGCUCUCUGGGACGGUACUGACGCUGAGACGCGAAAGCGUGGGGAGCGAACAGG